rnacentral:rRNA from 1 species
CCUACGGGAGGCAGCAGUGGGGAAUAUUGCACAAUGGGGGAACCCCUGAUGCAGCGACGCCGCGUGAGGGAAGAAUGAUUUCGGUACGUAAAGCUCUAUCAGCAAGGAAGAAAAUGACGGUACCUGAAUAAGAAGCCCCGGCUAAAUACGUGCCAGCAGCCGCGGUCAUACGUAGGGGGCAAGCGGUAACCGGGUUUACUGGGUGUAAAGGGAGCGUAGGCGGGAGCGCAAGUCUGGAGUGAAAUCCGAUGGCUUAACCAUGGAACUGCUUUGGAAACUGUGCAGCUAGAGUGCAGGAGAGGUAAGCGGAAUUCCUGGUGUAGCGGUGAAAUGCGUAGAUAUUAGGAGGAACACCAGUGGCGAAGGCGGCUUACUGGACUGUAACUGACGUUGAGGCUCGAAAGCGUGGGGAGCAAACAGGAUUAGAUACCCGAGUAGUC